rnacentral:rRNA from 1 species
UACGUAGGCAGCGAGCGUUGUUCGGAGUUACUGGGCGUAAAGCGUGCGUAGGCGGUGUCUUAAGUUUGUUGUGAAAUCUCCCGGCUUAACCGGGAGGGUGCGGCGAAUACUGAGAUGCUGGAGUGCCGGAGAGGUAAGCGGAAUUCCUGGUGUAGCGGUGAAAUGCGUAGAUAUCAGGAGGAACACCUGCGGUGUAGACGGCUUACUGGACGGUAACUGACGCUGAGGCGCGAAAGCUAGGGGAGCAAACAGG